CGUCAAUACUCCACAGUGAGAAAGUAUGUAUGCAAAGUGAGGUCAAGUCGACUAAAGCUCGGCUUCUCAGACAUCUCCGGCCUAUCUCUCUUCACUAUUUGUGCAUGUGAAAGGGAUAUCUCCAUAGCUGUCGGCAGCCUUUUCAGCAGAGCUAUUCAUCAUGUUUUUCUAUUCAAAGCGUGUGCAGGCGUUUACUGUAAGUAGCCGAAGAAGAGAAGAAAGGGCAGGAAUGAUGGAAACAAACAUCACAGAGCUCAAUGGUUGGAGAGCAGAUGGGGACUAGACAGUGAGUCUGGUUUCAGGGCAAAUUGUCACGGCCCGGGUGCAUUGCGAUGCGGAGUGCACCUCGAAGAGCGCACAUCCAAGAGCGCACCUGCGCGUGCCAUUCCUGCAGAAGCUGCGCUAGUACACAGCUGCAAUCAAUCAGCACUCGACGCACUUGUAGCUACUGAAAAGCUCUGCCUUCAUAAGCUGGCACAACCUGCUAUCCGGGGCCACAACGUAGUUAUCUGUUCCCAUACACCUACCUUCGUUUCCACGUCACGAGAUGUGUGUCUCGUCUCUCCGCGUUCCCUCUGGUUCCUUGGCUGCAUCUUGUAUCUCGACCUCCCGCCUGGACACAGACUUUUUGACGCCUCGCUAUAGCCCCCGACUUCCUGCCUGUAUCACGGACCUCCGAGAUUGUUUCGUCCCCCACCCUUGGACUUCCGCACUUCUUGCUCAACACUCUCCUGUUAAUUCAUACACAUAGUCUCACACACACUCUAUUUUAUUGUGUACAUAUAUAUAUUAGAAUAAAUAGAGUUAAAACUA